rnacentral:rRNA from 1 species
UACGGAGGAUCCAAGCGUUAUUCGGAGUGACUGGGCGUAAAGAGUUGCGUAGGGGGUUUGUUAAGCAAAUAGUGAAAUCUUGUGGCUCAACCAUAAGGCUAUUAUUUGAACUGGCAGACUUGAGAAUAUGAGAGGUAGAUGGAAUUCCCAGUGUAGGAGUGAAAUCCGUAGAUAUUGGGAGGAACACCAAUGGCGUAGGCAGUCUACUGGCAUAUGUCUGACCCUGAGGCACGAAAGCGUGGGGAGCGAACCGG